GUUAAACGACAGUAUGAGACCCAACAAUUUGUUUAUUCAAAAAUGAGUUUCAAGGAAGCCAUUUCAUAUUGUGUUAUUUAGAAACUUUGUUACAGAAGUAGCAACAUACAUAAAUAAAUCAAAUAGUCACAUCCUAAUUCAAGUUACAUUACGCAAAAAUCUGCCACAAUUGAUUACUCUUGGGUGUUUGUCUGCUAGGCCUAGGGAUGCCGUUGACACUUACUCAAGCCACAGAAGCUGAUAUCAGGAGAAGGACUUGCCAGGCCAUUGUUUCAAGGUCUUAAACAACAGCGUGCAUCUGCGUAUGGUCACUCCAGCUGCAGUUACACUCCAAUGCACAGACCAACUCUGAAAUCUCAAACCAGUACAUAAAUCUCGCAUGCUACACCUUUGAGAGUUUCAGGAAAAGCAACAGUUCAAAUAUUAGUCGCACUAUUCAUACUAGCAAAUAUGCCCGUGCGUUGCAAGGGGAGAAAUAUAUACAUUAUACGUUAGCGAAAUAAGCGUAAUAUUUUUUUAAGGAUUGACACAAUACCCUCACAUAUGAGCAUCCUCUGUUUUUAACAUGGGCGACUCAUCAUGUUGCCACUUAACUUUCUCUCCCACCCUCGUUGAUGAUGGUCGCGAUGUUCACGUGAUGACAAUGCAUUUAACGCGCUAAAUCCAAGGGCUAUGAGCUUGCUACUGCAUGUCACAUUUGUCGUUAUGCUGCGUAAGAGAAUUUUUUUAAAACAAAUCUCACCGACCAUGAGCUACUUCCAAUGUCUAGACAUAUAAAGACUUUCGAAAAUCUAAUCAAAUCCUAGACAUAAAAGGCUUUGAUUCGGUGAACAGUUUUUGAAUUGACAUUUUUAUUUGAAAAUCACCAACAUUUGUUUUGUGUACAAACAUUUUCUGAAAUGCAAGAAAAGUUUUUGAAUUCAUGAGCAUUUUUGACUCAAUAAACAUGUUUUGAAUCACAUCACUUUUUUAAAAAUUGGGGAACAAAUUUUAAAAUUUGUGUUUUUUUACUUUUUUGUGAACAUUUUCUAAAAUUUGAUGGACACUUUUUGCAGAUUCCCGAAUAUGUUUUGUGUAUAUAUUCUGAAAUGUAUUUUCUGUACGAACAUUUUUUGACUUUUUGUUUUGUGUACGAACAUUUUCUGAAAUGCAUGAAAAGUUUUUGAAUUCAUGAGCAUUUUUUGACUCAACAAACAUGUUUUGAAUCGCUUAACUUUUUUGAAAAAUGCGGGAACAAAUUUUAGAAUUUGUGUUUUUUUACUUUUUGUUAAACAUUUUGUAAAAUUUGAUGGACACUUUUUGUAGAUUUCCGAAUAUAUUUUGAACAAAUGAUCAUUUUUUUCAAAAUCGAGAACAUGAUUUUAUUUCCCGACUAUUUAUUUUUCAAAUUGUGAUUCUGUUUUGUAAUUUCAAACAGUUUUACAAAUACACAAAUAUAUUUUGAAUCCAUGAAACUUUUAUAAUUUCCUUAGAAAAUUAAAUUCUGAUGCAUUUUAUAAUUUCUCAAACGUUUCUUUAAAACUCACCAUAUUUGAAAUUUGGAAACCCCGAAUUAAUAUAAAGAAGGAAGAGAACAGAAUAAGAGAAGAAAAAAAUGAAAAAGAAAAACGGAAUCAUGUGCAAGAUGGGGGAUCGAACCCUGCUCGCGUGGCUAAAAGUGCAAUGCCUCAAUCACUACAGCGCUAGUCCCUUCUAUAGUAACAUCUCCUUGGAAUAAAGUACUACGCCGCGAAUUUUGGAAAAAAAUCAAAGCGUUUUUCUUUACUUUUGGAUGCCACAGUGGGUAAUUUAAGUCAACUUUGAGGAAAAUAUUAAUGACGGACGACCAGAAACCCUAUUUGCUUUAUUAUUAGGGAGAGAUUAAGACACCUUGACGUACUAUACAUCUAUUUCUUUGCAUAGAACCAAUAAACAAACAUCACUGAGUUCGGAGUAGCAAGGCAAACAAAAUAAAGACUAUGCAAACAAGAAUGAUGUAGUGCCACUUGAAUGGAAGAAUACAUAUUGCUAAUAAUAAUACACUUUACCAGCCCUCUCAUGGAGAAUGAAUUAAUUGCAACUGGUGAAACUUCCUUCCAGAUGAAUGAAUGCAUCGAGGUAAAAUAGCAAACACAUGAUUAUAUCAUCCGUGGAGACAAAAACACCUUAAAGAAAGCAAAAACUCAAAACGAUAAUUUACGACUUUCACCUCAAGACGAUUCGCCUCAAUCACCAGCACAUGAAAGACCAAUGAACUGAAGAUCGAAGGUGCCACACGCAUAGAAGUUUGAUACUUCUAUUUCCAGUAAACUGAAGAAACAAAAUAAUAAAGGAGAAGCUAAUGACAUGUGUGCACAACAAGCAUAUGGAAAAGACCAAUGUAGUACAUGAGGGUAUCUUCAGUUUGCAUAGAUAAUCAGUGAAUAAAAGGGCAUAAUUUAGCUAGCCUGCUAUAUAAUUCAUACUAAUUAAAAAACACAACUCUUAUCACAUCAUAUUCAAUAAUUCCAAAGCUAGAGCAAAUUAGAACAUAUCUUCUCAUUAUAAUUUCAUUUUCUAAUAAGACAUUUUCAUCAUCAUGCCAUGUUUGACAAAGUUCCCCUGCCCAAAGGAUAAAAUGUAGGGGGGGAAUGCAUUUCAGUUGUCAUGCUUUCUUGAAACACUAUUUUUUGUACAUUGUAUAAGGUGGAUUGGCAAGCCCCUUUAUAGAAAUUUAGUGGUGAAUAAAUCUGAGUGUGAGAGUGAGUCUUACUACACUUCAACAACAUUCAAGCUUCACCAGGAGCAUUUGAAACCAAAUUCAUGGUCAGGAAAUAUCAAAUCUCUAGAAAAAAAUACAGUUUUCUAUAAAUAAAAUAAAGAAUUGGGCAUUAACCUAUAUAUGACUUGGGAGGAAUGUGUGUGUUUCACAGAAUUCAAUAUGCCUAGUAUAAACAAAAGAGCAUGUGUAUGCAUGUUAUACGUUGAGCCUGCCCGGGUGUCGGCGACCACAUUUGCAUAUAGCAACGAGCAGGCCUCAUCUAUGAUGCCGUGUGUGAAUAUUUGCCUGCUGCCGCUGACAGUGCCAGUCAAGAGGGCAUGUGGUAGAACAUGAACUAACAUAUUGAUGACCAGAUCACCAAGUACCACCACAAAUACUGUAAUUGCAAAACACAUUGUGGUUUUCAUAAUAUACAGCAGAAAAUUGUAGACACACACUCAUGCCCUUACAGGCGUGACCAUACCAUGUCACACUAUCAAUUCCUCCUCAUCGUUGUCAUCCCAAUCGGUAGGCCUAGAUUCUUUUGCGGGUUCAUUUGUCGGUGACGUGUGGACAUGCGACUCGAGGUCCGGCAUCACCGUAGUGAGAAGACUGGGUGUGAUACAAACAGAGCCUAAAUCGUAUCCUCAAAUAAGCCUAUGAAAUAAUCCAAUCCUUCUACUGCACAAUCUAGUAUAAAUCCCAAGUAACACAUGCAUGCUGAGAGAUGUAUGCUACAUUACUGAAUUGGGCCUGCCCAAGUCACCCUACCUCACUAACUCCUACACAAAGUAUACUUUGCUGAAUUUUGCAUCUACCGAUUAAUGAACCACACUAAAUUAAGCAAACACACGUCAGUACAGAGAACGAAUGCUCAUGCAAAAUCGUUAGUCCACGAGACAGGCGAGCUGCUUAAUGAACAAUUCAGUUUGGAUACAGAAAAAUUGAGUACAACUUAUAGUUCGAAGCAUCCGUACAACUGAUAUGGCCGUUCCUCUGUGUGCCCACGGUGCGGCAGCGUGGAGGCGCGCACGUACGAUAUCGUUCGCCAGCGUCCGCCUUGCGUAUGUCCAUGUCCCCAGCGGGGGCGGCAG
rnacentral:lncRNA from 1 species